GAGUUUGAUCUUGGCUCAGAUUGAACGCUGGCGGCAUGCCUUACACAUGCAAGUCGAACGGCAGCACGGGAGCUUGCUCCUGGUGGCGAGUGGCGAACGGGUGAGUAAUGCAUCGGAACGUAUCCUGGAGUGGGGGGAUAACGUAGCGAAAGUUACGCUAAUACCGCAUAUUCUGUGAGCAGGGAAAGCGGGGGACCUUCGGGCCUCGCGCUCUUGGAGCGGCCGAUGUCGGAUUAGCUAGUUGGUGAGGUAAAGGCUCACCAAGGCGACGAUCCGUAGCAGGUCUGAGA
rnacentral:rRNA from 1 species